GACGAACGCUGGCGGCGUGCCUAAUACAUGCAAGUAGGACGCAGUUGCGAACGGAUGAGUCACGCGUCGGUCACUGCCUCUUAGAGGGGGAUAACUAUUGGAAACGAUAGCUACUACCGCAUACUAGUAGAAGGAACUGCGUUGUAUUAGCUAGUAGGUAGGGUAAUGGGCUACCUAGGCGACGAUACGUAGCCGACCUGAGAGGGUGAUCGGCCACACUGGGACUGAGACACGGCCCAGGCUCCUACGGGAGGCAGCAGUAGGGAAUCUUCGGCAAUGGGGGGAACCCUGACCGAGCAACGCCGCGUGAGUGAAGAAGGUUUUCGGGUCGUAAAGCUCUGUUGUUAAGGAAGCGGUACUUAACCAGAAAGGGACGGCUAACUACGUGCCAGCAGCCGCGGUAAUUC
rnacentral:rRNA from 1 species